rnacentral:lncRNA from 1 species
AGGUAGGUAGGUAGUCUGGUCCUUUACAUAAAGCAGAGGUGGGUAGGUAGUCUGGUCCUUUACAUAAAGCAGAGGUAGGUAGGUAGUCUGGUCCUUUACAUAAAGCAGAGGUAGGUAGGUAGGUAGUCUGGUCCUUUACAUAAAGCAGAGGUAGGUAGGUAGUCUGGUCCUUUACAUAAAGCAGAGGUAGGUACUCUGGUCCUUUACAUAAAGCAGAGGUAGGUAGUCUGGUCCUUUACAUAAAGCAGAGGUAGGUAGGUAGUCUGGUCCUUUGCAUAAAGCAGAGGUAGGUAGGUAGUCUGGUCCUUUACAUAAAGCAGAGGUAGGUAGGUAGUCUGGUCCUUUACAUAAAGCAGAGGUAGGUACUCUGGUCCUUUACAUAAAGCAGAGGUAGGUAGGUAGUCUGGUCCUUUACAUAAAGCAGAGGUAGGUAGGUAGUCUGGUCCUUUACAUAAAGCAGAGGUAGGUAGGUAGUCUGGUCCUUU